UACGGUGUCUCAAGCAGGAGACGAACGACAGAGGCCUGUCGAGGUGCUGCCGACGGUAACUAGAAGACCGGUUCCACGGGGGCCUGGUUCUCUUCCACCAAAGACAGGCCCUGUCUGGCCUUGGGCCCCGUAGGCCAAAAUGUUUGCGGACUUGGUCCGUAGACAACCCGAGAAAGAGAGCUCAACUAAUCCGCAACAACGGACAAACAGAGACGUGUACCCGGCACGGCACAAAGACCCGGACUACAGUGGGGUAGGGGACGAAGAGGCGGCGGCGGAGAAAGAGGUGGUUUAGGUGUAGCGGCGGCACGAGCAACGGCCCUGUCCGUCCUCCACCUCCGCUCCCUCUAUCCCCCCAGUUGACCCGCCGCGGCGUAUCGUGACAUGCUCCACCGAUCUUCUCCCGCCGCGCCGUCCCAUUUAGGGGAAAGUGACGCCUCGUCAGGUGCCACGGAAGUGGCAGCAGGAGUGGAAGCUCGGCGGGCACUACGGUAGCGGUAGCGGUUCGGGGCAAACACGCCAUGUGUAUCUACCUACUCCUACGGCCAUCGUUCGUCAUCGUGGCUACGGUUCGCUCUUCUCUGGAGAUCGAGCUGAACACCGCCGCCGCCCAUGAUGACCUCGUAUCCGCGGAAAGUAAAAAGCAGGAGAAACAACCACCCUUCCGCGUCGUCCAGCCUCCUCCUUCGGUGCUCUUGAACCUCUCUCUCUCCUCUACGCCUUCCCGCUGCUAGACACACCCUGCUGGGCCGCGAGCACCUACGGAACCUGGUGCGGCAGUGAUCGAUGUUCGAUUAGGAAACGUUGUUAAACUAUUCUAAGAAUUUAGUUACCGCACCGGAGAUAAACUACUCGACCCCGACGAUAUUUUGGCUCUUCUUCUGUUCCUCCUAAUCAACGUAAAAACCAUGAUCUAAACUUCUAAGACCACUACUCUAUCUAACGUCGUCAUGUGGGAUAGUGUACUACCUCUUUUCCUCGGAUCUCUUCUUGUAAGCCGAACUCGACCUUGUACUCAAGUCAACACUCUUCGCAACGUGAGAGGAGAGACUGGUCGCUCGAGACGACAUGACGACGAGGCCGACU
rnacentral:rRNA from 1 species